UAUUGUUUGUGGAAGCGUGAG
ensembl:piRNA 21ur-1825 ncRNA